AGAGUUUGAUCAUGGCUCAGAAUCAACGCUGGCGGCGUGCCUAACACAUGCAAGUCGAACGAGAAAGUGGAGCAAUCCAUGAGUACAGUGGCGACCGGGUGAGUAACACGUGAUCAACCUACCCUCGAGUGGGGAAUAACUCCGGGAAACCGGAGCUAAUACCGCAUAAAAUCUUCGGUCCACAUGAACUGAUGAUCAAAGGAGCAAUUCGCUUGAGGAGGGGGUCGCGGCUGAUUAGCUAGUUGGUAGGGUAAUGGCCUACCAAGGCUUAGAUCGGUAUCCGGCCUGAGAGGGCGCACGGACACACUGGAACUGAAACACGGUCCAGACUCCUACGGGAGGCAGCAGUGGGGAAUUUUGCGCAAUGGGGGAAACCCUGACGCAGCAACGCCGCGUGGAGGAUGAAGUCCCUUGGGACGUAAACUCCUUUCGACCGGGAAGAUACUGACGGUACCGGAUGAAGAAGCACCGGCUAACUCUGUGCCAGCAGCCGCGGUAAUACAGAGGGUGCGAGCGUUGUUCGGAAUUAUUGGGCGUAAAGGGCGCGUAGGCGGUGCGGUAAGUCACCUGUGAAAUCUCCUGGCUCAACUGGGAGCUUGCAGGCGAAACUGCCGUGCUGGAGUGUGGGAGAGGUGCGUGGAAUUCCCCGGUGUAGCGGUGAAAUGCGUAGAUAUCGGGAGGAACACCUGUGGCGAAAGCGGCGCACUGGACCACAACUGACGCUGAGGCGCGAAAGCUAGGGGAGCAAACAGGAUUAGAUACCCUAGUAGUCC
rnacentral:rRNA from 1 species